CGCCCCUUCCCAGACUCGAAAGUCCACUUGUGUCCAAUGCUCCAGGCUCGCCCAGGCUCCGCCUGGAGUCUGACCACCGCUCCACCCUGAUCGCCGUCAGAAACGCGUGAGCGCCGAGAGGACCACGACCCAGCUUGCUGGAAAGGAAACUUGGGGACAUCUGUGAAGAGAGGAAUAGGAAGUCCAAGGAGGAGCACGAAAGGAGGUAGAAGUUAUUGGCACUGUUCUCGGAGAGUUUCGAAAAGCCUCCAACUCUGAAGUGGAAAGAGAGGUGGGCUGUUCAGGAAAGCAAAGCACACCCGAGGAGCCAGACUUUGGAUGAAGAACUGCAACUGUGAGUGGGCGUGACGUUCUGCUGGGCUGGCUUCCUCCCAUUCAAGAGAACUUGGUGGCACCCUGCAAUCUCAGUGGAAAGUUUACAUUCCUCUGGAAAAUAAACUGUGGAAAGGGAAAGAAUUUGGGGAGCACUGUGACAGCAGGCCAAGGUUCAAAGCUUUGUUAAUAACCAUACCUCAUGGUUAUUCUUUUCAAACAUUGUUUCAUCUAUAAACUUAGUUUUCUGUGCAAACUCUAUAAUAAAUGGGACCAGCACUUUU